rnacentral:piRNA from 1 species
UGACCUGCCACGUUUGUUUUUCAAGGUGUC